rnacentral:rRNA from 1 species
GACGAACGCUGGCGGCGUGCUUAACACAUGCAAGUCGAACGGAAAGGCCCUGCUUUUGUGGGGUGCUCGAGUGGCGAACGGGUGAGUAACACGUGAGUAACCUGCCCUUGACUUUGGGAUAACUUCAGGAAACUGGGGCUAAUACCGGAUAGGAGCUCCUGCUGCAUGGUGGGGGUUGGAAAGUUUCGGCGGUUGGGGAUGGACUCGCGGCUUAUCAGCUUGUUGGUGGGGUAGUGGCUUACCAAGGCUUUGACGGGUAGCCGGCCUGAGAGGGUGACCGGCGACAUUGGGACUGAGAUACGGCCCAGACUGCUACGGGAGGCAGCAGUGGGGAAUAUUGCACAAUGGGCGGAAGCCUGAUGCAGCAACGCCGCGUGCGGGAUGACGGCCUUCGGGUUGUAAACCGCUUUCGCCUGUGACGAAGCGUGAGUGACGGUAAUGGGUAAAGAAGCACCGGCUAACUACGUG